AAAGUUGAAAUAAGAGUUGCAGCUGAUGCUGGAUGGCAAACUAGAUCUAGUGGGAGUAAAUAUAACAGCUAUUGAGGUCACAGUGUACUAAUAGGUGAUAAAUCUGGGAAGAUAGUGCGAUAUGAUUAUAGAUGCAGAAAAUGCAGACUAUGUGAAAAUGCAAAAAGAAAAGGCAUUCAGCCCAUUGACCAUGAUUGCAGAAAGAAUUGGGAUGGCUCAGCCAAAGCUAUGGAGCCUGACAUGAUUGUGGGCAUGUUGAAAGACUUGGAAAAAGAGAAUAUUCAUCCUCAUGAAUUUGUA